GAGGGGAUAGCUCAAGUGGUAGAGUGCGCGCUUAACAUGCACAAGGUCCUGGGUUCAAUCCCCAGUACCUCCU
rfam:Camelus ferus unplaced genomic scaffold scaffold487, whole genome shotgun sequence.